rnacentral:rRNA from 1 species
UACGGAGGGGGCGAGUGUUGUUCGGAAUUACUGGGCGUAAAGCGCGCGUAGGCGGCUUGGCAAGUCGGGUGUGAAAUACCUCAGCUUAACUGAGGAAUGGCGCUCGAAACUACCUCGCUAGAGGGCGGGAGAGGGAAGUGGAACUCUCGGUGUAGGGGUGAAAUCUGUAGAUAUCGAGAGGAACACCGGUGGCGAAGGCGGCUUCCUGGCCCGUACCUGACGCUGAGGCGCGAAAGCGUGGGGAGCAAACAGG